rnacentral:rRNA from 1 species
CCUACGGGAGGCAGCAGUGGGGAAUAUUGCACAAUGGGGGAAACCCUGAUGCAGCGACGCCGCGUGAGUGAAGACGUAUUUCGGUAUGUAAAGCUCUAUCAGUAGGGAAGAAAAUGACGGUACCUGAGUAAGAAGCUCCGGCUAACUACGUGCCAGCAGCCGCGGUAAUACGUAGGGGGCAAGCGUUAUCCGGAUUUACUGGGUGUAAAGGGAGCGUAGACGGCAGCACAAGUCUGGAGUGAAAUGCCGGGGCUUAACCCCGGAACUGCUUUGGAAACGGUGCAGCUAGAGUGCAGGAGAGGUAAGUGGAAUUCCUGGUGUAGCGGUGAAAUGCGUAGAUAUUAGGAGGAACACCAGUGGCGAAGGCGGCUUACUGGACUGUAACUGACGUUGAGGCUCGAAAGCGUGGGGAGCAAACAGGAUUAGAUACCCCUGUAGUC